rnacentral:lncRNA from 1 species
CAGUAUGUUCUAUUCAUGUCCCUGAUGAUCAAUUGUGUUGAUGCAUGGUUAUCACUGCUCGCGGUAGCAGCAGCUUCUGUGGCAGUAUGAUGCACACAUGAAUUUGUACGAUAUCUCGAAUUUAUGUAGGUGUGGUGUGGUCCAACAAGUUUUGAACCUUUGAUGUGUAGGAUCAUGUUGGCACUGCUCGGUUAUAUUUGGAGUAUACGGAUGCCGUGGUGGAUUUCCAGCCUCUUAGUUACAGCAUGCUCGGUCAUUUCAAGCCAACCCUACCAGAUUAUUCUCAGGAACUUGCUCUUCCAGCAGAGAAACAGAGCAGUCGCUCUUUUGCAGUCAGUGGAGAUGUUCGGGGUGGCAAGAGCUCUGAAGUUUUUACAGUUAGUUCUGUAGUUGAGUGUUUGACUACUUCCUGACAUAUGUUCAGAUCUUAGUAAGAGAUGUGUCACUGCUACCAGUUCGGUGUGUUAACUACUUGUUGAUUCUGUUGCUGGAACCAACGAGUUUCAGGUGUAGUUUUGCCUUAGGCUGCAUGUUGCGGCCUUGUGGAAUUUAUGAAUGUGCGAGCAAGGAAUUCUCCUUCAGGUGCAUGGUUUGGUUUCAGGUUGCAUGCGUUGAAAUGACAUGAAUGGAUAGAUGUACCGAAAAUAUGCACCUGGGUUGGUUUGUUGUAUGGUUGCUAGCCCUGAAACAUGUGUCGCACUGAAGCGUAUGAUGGUACUAACAUUGUAGGGUUUGUUGCUGCUGCUGUAUGCUUGAACUGGCGGGUUGUAGAUUAACAUGUUAUUUAUCAUUUGCAAAAGUUCACCCCGGGAAGCCCUAGAAUACCACGGAUGUCAACCAAUCGACCAAGUUUGAUACCCCAAAAUUUCUCAGCGAAGAAAAUGAACUCAGAUCUUAGUACCAUUAUUACUUCAAAACAAUUUUCUUUUGAAAGAUCCAGCAAUUGCUGACUUUUCUGUUAUGGAGAUCGGGAGCAGUACAUACAUCAUCGCCAUAGGCGACAUGGAAAGAGAAAACCGAAAAAAGGAAACUUCAAACAUUGUAUUUUUAUAGCUUUGAUUUUGAACUUUUUUCCUAGAAUACCAAAGAUGUCAUUUCUUCGCGAAAAUACACGUGUGAGUAGAGUCGACCAAGUUUAACACCCCCAUUUUUUUUAAAAACCCUCCAAUAUUUUACUGUUCAUAAUAGUUGUCACUGCAACGAUGUUCCAAAAUAUUAUGUUCAACAUAUAAUCCAACAAGCAGGUGUUAUCUAAAUCAAACCCCGAACUCCAAAUACCAGGAAUCAGCACACUCAACUCUCUAAUCCCAGUCCAAAUUGAACCCUAAUCAUGUUUUAGGCCAAAAAACGAUGACACAGCAGUAGUCAACCGGGAUUGACCUGACUUGUGGGCCAGCAAGUGCUUUUGUUGACUGGUGCGCUCGUGUUAAAGGAUUGGGGAAUUCUGGUGGUGAGAAGUUAGGGUUAGCGGCGGCUGGCAGGGCGCAGAGCACGGCGGCGACGCGAUGUCGUGGUCUUCGACCUCUUCAAGGCUUAUAGUGAUCGAGAUUAGGAUUUGUCACUUCGAUUGUCGGAGAGGUAUCUCCGGGCCCACUCGGUAAUGCACAUCACUAUAAGCCUUGCAAACAAUGUGACCAAUGAGUUAGUCACGGGAUGAUGCAUUACGGAACGAGUAAAGAGACUUGCCGGUAACGAGAUUGAACUAGGUAUGAUGAUACCGACGAUUGAAUCUCGGGCAAGUAACAUACCGAUGACAAAGGGAACAACAUAUGUUGUUAUGCGGUUUGACCGAUAAAGAUCUUCGUAGAAUAUGUAGGAACCAAUAUGAGCAUCCAGGUUCCGCUAUUGGUUAUUGACCGGAGAUGAGUCUCGGUCAUGUCUACAUAGUUCUCGAACUCGUAGGGUCCGCACGCUUAACGUUCGAUGACGAUAUGUAUUAUGAGUUAUGUGAUUUGAUGUACCGAAGGUUGUUUCGGAGUCCCGGAUGUGAUCACGGACAUGGCGAGGAGUCUCGAAAUGGUCGAGACAUAAAGAUUGAUAUAUUGGACCAUGUUAUUCGGACACCGGAAGUGUUCCGGAGAGUUUCGGAUAAAACCGGAUUGUCGGAGGGUUACCGGACCCUCCCCCCCGGGAAGUUAAUGGGCCACCAUGGGCCUUAGAGGAGAGAGGGCCGGCCAGGAGGUGGCGUGGUCCCCCAGUCCGAAUUGGACAAGGGGUGGUGGCGGCGCCCCCCUCCUUCCUUCUCUCCCCUUCCUCCUUCCUUCCCCUCCUUGUUGGACUAGGAAAGGAGGGAACCUACUCGUAGUAGGUGUAGGAUUCCCCCCUUGGGGCGCGCCCCUUGAGGUCGGCCGGCCCCCUCCUCCGCUCCUUUAUAUACGGGGGAGGGGAGAACCCCAUAGACACACAAGUUGAUUUCUUAGCCGUGUGCGGUGCCCCCCUCCACAGAUUUCCACCUCGGUCAUAUUGUCGUAGGUCUUAGGCGAAGCCCUGUGUUGGUAACUUCAGCAUCACCGUCAACACGCCGUCGUGCUAACGAAACUCUCCCUCGGCCUCAGGUGGAUCUAGAGUUCAAGGGACGUCACUGAGCUGAACGUGUGCAUAUCACGGAGGUGUCGUACGUUCGGUACUUGAUCGGUUGGAUCGCGAAGACGUUCGACUACAUCAACCGCGUUACUCAACGCUUCCGCUUUCGGUCUACGAGGGUACAUAGACACACUCUCCCCUCUCAUUGCUAUGCCUCUCCUAGAUAGAUCUUGCUGAAGAAAAUAUGCCCUAGAGGCAAUAAUAAAGUUAUUAUUUAUUUCCUUAUAUCAUGAUAAAUGUUUAUUAUUCAUGCUAGAAUUGUAUUAACCGGAAAUAUGAUACAUGUGUGAAUACAUAGACAAACAGAGUGUCACUAGUAUGCCUCUACUUGACUAGCUCAUUAAUCAAAGAUGGUUAUGUUUCCUAGCCAUAGACAUGAGUUGUCAUUUGAUUAACGGGAUCACAUCAUUAGGAGAAUGAUGUGAUUGACUUGACCCAUUCCGUUAGCUUAGCACUUGAUCGUUUAGUAUGUUGCUAUUGCUUUCUUCAUGACUUAUACAUGUUCCUAUGACUAUGAGAUUAUGCAACUCCCGUUUACCGGAGGAACACUUUGUGUGCUACCAAACGUCACAACGUAACUGAGUGAUUAUAAAGGUGCUCUACAGGUGUCUCCGAAGGUACUUAUUGGGUUGGCGUAUUUCGAGAUUAGGAUUUGUCACUUCGAUUGUUGGAGAGGUAUCUCUGGGCCCACUCGGUAAUGCACAUCACUAUAAGCCUUGCAAGCAUUGUAACUACUGAGUUAGUUGAGGUAUGAUGUAUUACGGAACGAGUAAAGAGACUUGCCGGUAACGAGAUUGAACUAAGUAUUGAGAUACUGACGAUCGAAUCUCAGGCAAGUAACAUACCGAUGACAAAGGGAACAACAUAUGUUGUUAUGCGGUUUGACCGAUAAAGAUCUUCGUAGAAUAUGUAGGAGCCAACAUGAGCAUCCAGGUUCCGCUAUUGGUUAUUGACCGGAGACAUGUCUCAGUCAUGUCUAUGUAGUUCUCGAAUCCGUAGGGUCCGCAUGCUUAAAGUUUCGGUGACGAUUGUAUUAUGAUUUUUGUGUUUUGAUGUACUGAAGGUAGUUUGGAGUCCCGGAUGUGAUCAUGGACAUGACGAGGAGUCUCGAAAUGGUCGAGACAUAAAGAUCGAUAUAUUGGACGACUAUGUUCGGACACCUGUCGCGACCGGGUUUUCCGGGUAAUAAAUUUCCAGAAAAGACCGUCGUGCUCAUCAGCCCCAGGAUUACUGUUAGCUGAUGAGGCUCCAACUUGAUACAGAAAUUCCAAGCAAAAUACAAAAUAUGUAGUACAAGACCAUUCUGGCUUGUGAGUACAACAAAUGGUUUCUAGUGGUUGAUGGCGGAAGCGGGUUGUGAAACAUCUGUGUCUAUGGGACUCCAUUUCCCACGGGAACAGCUGACCAUGUUAAUUCCUAUCUUCGCGAGGCUGCUAUCUCCAUUGAGUGGGUUCCGGGGCUGGCAUUCGCGUCGCUCCUCUCCGUGCGAGCAAAAUCUGGCCAAGACAAUAGCGAGGGACAAGCCAGUGAGUACUUUGAAUGUACUCGCAAAUAUUAUGAACACAGGUAUAAUAUAACCAUGAUGUGCUAAAAAUAUUUUUAUGCUCAUGACGUCAGUCAAAAAUAGUAAAUAAAAUACUGAUGCAUGCAGGCGGUUAUUUAUAAAAAAAAAUGCAAUACAUAGCAGUAUUAAAAUUUAUGAAAUAAAUAACAAGCAAUGCCACAGUCGGGCGUCUGAGCGACACCACAUAAAGGGCUUUAAAAGAAAUGCCACAGUCGGGCGUUUGAGCGACGCCACAUAAAGGGCUUUAAAAGAAAUGCCACAGUCGGGCGUCUGAGCGACGCCACAUAAAGGGCUUUAAAAGAAAUGCCACAGUCGGGCGUCUGAGCGACGCCACAUAAAGGGCUUUAAAAGAAAUGCCACAGUCGGGCGUCUGAGCGACGCCACAUAAAGGGCUUUAAAAGAAAUGCCACAGUCGGGCGUCUGAGCGACGCCAUAUAAAGGGCUUUAAAAGAAAUGCCACAGUCGGGCGUCUGAGCGACGCCACAUAAAGGGCUUUAAAAGAAAUGCCACAGUCGGGCGUCUGAGCGACGCCACAUAAAGGGCUUUAAAAGAAACAAUCAUAAUGAAUAUCCCUGGAGGUAGAACCAUCCCAGAGAUACUCGAUAAUAACAAUAAUAUCAUGGGUUAGUCAACAAUAAUAAUAAUCAUCAUAGAUAUCACAAGUCACGAGUAGUAAUUCCAUUUUCUGGUUAACAGUUUCACCUCCGAAGACCGACACUAAGACCGACACCUGACCCAUCCCAGACUGUAAUCCUUAACCAUGGACACGGCUAUUCGAAUAGGUUUAUUCUCUGCAGAGGGUGUACUCUUUACCCACGAGUAACGGAUCUCUUUAGUCCAUCGGGACUAAUUCCGUCUACGGUCUUUUUGUUGAAAACACACCUAACUUGCACACACCAGCCUAUCUCACACGUGUCUGGAAUCACGCACGACACCUGUUAAGCAAACUCUAAGUGGGGAGGCUACAACCUCGCGUAGCAUGGGAUCAAAUUUAUAUCGCGCGCUCUAAGGGGUGGCCUCCCCUCUCGGUCCCAACCGGAAACACCCAUGCCCCCGGACCAGGUGGCCUGCCUACCAGCUACAACCGGUAUCUUCCACCAUGGCCUCUCUGUACGGUGUGUGCUGGAAAGAGGUUGACAACUUACUGAACCGUACUCUACUUGCUGUAGAGACGAGUGGUAGUACGAAACAAGUAUGGGGGUUACUGGAACAAGACUCGAUCUACGGUCGACUCAGGAGGUUCAAGUAUUCCCUGCAUGAUUAGCAUGACGCAUAUAUUUCAUCCAACAAAGUCACCGCUCAUAUCACCUUACCAUGCCAUACCAGACAUAACCGUCCCGACGGAGACCGGCGACAAACUCAUGCCUACCCAAGGCCGAGGUUUUUCCGGGUUCCUGCCGGUAUGCAUGCAAGGCACAUGAGGGUGAUUAUCAUCACAAGUGAGUCCAUUUCCAACAGCAUGGAAAUCAACAACAUGCACCCAUGCAUAUGAUCAUAUCACAUGAAAUAACAAGUCCUUCGAAAUGCGGUGGUGUUAUAAAUGUAUCAACGAUCACACCAAAAAAUAUUAUGCUGGGGUUCAGAAUGCUUGCCUUCAAUGUUGUGGAGGGGUGAGGUGCUCUCCAAAACUUUUGAAAGCUUCUUCUCUCUCCCCAAAAUCCUAUUUAAAAAUAUAUUUGAAUUAACACAUAUUUCAAAAACAGAACCAAAAAUUUGUUUGAAUAUUUUUCAAAUAAAUCUUAAAAUAAACUAGAUCAAAUUUGAGGAAGGUAGGAAAAAGAAUCAUUUCAUUUGGACUUAUAUUUAAAAAGUUAUAGCCAGUCAAAGAUUUGGUCAAAUCUGUUAUUUAAAUUAAAACAGAAAAGAAAACGUUUCAGACGAGAUUACGCUUUCGGUACAGAGGAGGCGUACUUGAGGCUUUACGCCUCCACUUAACCACGUGGACGGUGCGGGGUGUCACUGACAGUGGUCCUGCCUGGCCCACUGGUCAGGUUUGACCAGUCGCCGCGCGUCGUCUCUGUCCUUUGCCCAAGCGGAGCGGGGCUCCGGCGAUCGUCGCCGGCGUUUGGCUGCUCCUCGCGGGCCCCCGAGGGUGGGGAUGGAUCCGUAAGGUUGGGGCGGUCCUCCCGGUAGUCGUUGGGUCGGCGGGGACGGAGUGAGCUGCCGGCGGCGAGCUCCGCGGCGGAAGAAGGCUUCGGUGGCGAAGUGACUUUGUGGCGGCGUUGGCUCCCGAUCAAAAUCAAGUAGGGGAAAAGGCUCACGGGAGGAUGUGGAAGCUCUUGGUGGAGAGAACGGAGAGUGGGAGAUACUGGAGGUGCCGGAUUGGCCGGGGCGGUGGCGGCGGCAGGAGUUGCCGGAGAUGAGGAAGGAGCCCUCCCCCGGGUCGAUUGGCUGCCAAUGGGGGUCCUCUGGAGGUGGCUUGGGACUGCCUGCGUGCGGAGAUGAGCUCGGGGCUCCUUAUAUAGGCGAGUCGAGGCGGUUCAGCAGCGGCCGUGGAUAAGCUUCCGGCGAACCGACGUUCUGUAGCAGCAGGGCAUCGUGGCGGCGACGAGCGCUAGCGGACAUGGCUGCGGAUGAGCACGCGCUGUUCCAGGGGCCAGGUGGCGAGCGGGAGUGGCUUGGGCGGCGCUAAACGGCGUAGGGCUGCCGGGCGGCGGCGGCGGCUAGUGCUUGUCCUGCCGGGCGCGGCGAGGGGCGGCUUGGCGCGUAGCUGAGAGAAGGGGAGCGCGUGGCGUGAUGCUGCUGUGUGGGCCAAAGCCAGGGGGCCAGCGUGUCGGCUCGGGCGCGCGGCUGCAAUACGCGCGCUCUGGGCGCGCUCUGGGUGUGCACGAGAUGUGUUCGACACUAUGCCAGAGCACGCUAGAGGUCGCGGUCGAGGCUGGCAAUUAACAGACCCAGGUUAGGAGCAACUGGAAUCCUAGUGGACAUGCUAGUAUGAUCCGAGGUGCAAGGUCACAAUGCAAAGACAAAAUCAUGUCAAAACUGGCCAUGCACACCAGGUGUUUGACAAAAUGCUAAGGGCACUCAGGCAGGUCUUGGAAUGGUCAAAAACUCCAGAUCAAGAUCUCCUUAGAUGCAAGAGAGAGUGGUGAGGUUAGUUGGCCAAAAGCAGAAACUUGUUAGUGCAAGUUUCACAAAACUUCAAUUCUGGACAGGAAAUAAAUAGCAUUAUUUCAUGAACCAAAAAUGAUCCAAAAGGUGCAUGCUCCUGGACUUAAGGGUUUAACAUGGGGGACUACAAGUAGGAGAAAUAAUCAAGGGUUAAAGAGCAAGUAAAAACAUGGUUGCUGUACAAACCAUCAAGUUGGUCCAGAAUGAAGAUGAGGUUGAUUCACUCAAAUUUUUCAAAGAACAUAAAUAGGUUUUUGCACAAAGUGAAACAAUAGGCUCCUACUGACCUCCCCUAAUUUUGGUAGAAGUUUUAAAGAAAUAUUUAAAUAGGUUGUAGUGCAAAAUGCACUCUGGACCAGAGAAGAAAAAUUGAGUGUAGGGCUCAAAAUAUUUCAUGAAUGAAAUAUAUUUUAGCAUAAAAGUGAUUUAAAAACAUCACAUGACAUCUACAAAUUUUUGUGGGAAUUUUAAGUGAAUUUAUCAAAUGGUUGUAGUUCAAAUAAGGCCAUUUAAUAAAAAAAACCAUUUUCCAAGAAAACAAUGAUCAAGCAACUAAAUUAGUUAAUUAGUUAUAUUGGAUAAGGGAAAGUUUUACUUGAGAGGUUAAUCAAGUCCAAUAACACAUUUGAAAAGUUUUCUCUCUGGGAAAAACUCAUAAUAACAGGGAAGGAAAAGAUUAAAAAAAAUCAAAAAUGGAGCUCAAACAUUCAAAGUUUUAAAUCCUGGCAAAAUUUUAUUCCAUUAAAACAAGGCCAAAAUUUUGGGGUGUCACAAUACUAACCCCCUUAAAAAAAAUCUCGCCCUCGAGAUUUGCUAAAAGCGGUGUUAAGAAAAUAAUUACGCAAUGACGAUGUGGCUACAGUGAGAGGGCAAUAAGUGGUGAAAAACCACAGUGUGAAAAACUGGGGCUGCGCGGAAAAGUCUACGGUUCGGGACAAAAACGGGUGAUUUCUAUGCUGGAUAUAAAUUUAGGAUAUCUCCUAAAUUUAGAUAUACGCUGGUUGUACCCGAGAGCACAGUGCUCUCUCUGGCCGACAGGUGGACCCGGGGUCCACUGUCAGUCUCCUCUUCUUCUCCCUCUGGCCCUUUCUUCCUCCUCUCUCCCGCGCGCUUCUCCACCGGCGAUGCCUAGUGUGUAGGGCAUCUAGGCCGUACCGUGGUAGUGCGCGGUGUGCUAGCUGCCGGUGCAGCGUGCACUCACCUCGCGGGCCAGCGCGCUGUCGGCACUGCUCGCGGAUUCGACUCCGAACACCGGCGAUCAGCGACGAGCGGUGUUGGUGGACUUCGCCCACCAUACACCGAGCUCGAGCUAUAAAAACGGCCGGGGUGCCUCUCUCUUCUUCCUCACACCUGGCCUCACUUCUCCUCCUCCUUCUUUUUCCGUUACUGCUUACAGAAGCUCGGUCGAGGCUCUAAUGGCGGAGGCGAUGCCGGACUGGUUUGUGAUCCUGAUAUGCGGAGGGCUGGCGACGCUGUUGGGGCUCUCGGUGCUCCUGUGCGCGAUAAUCUUCGACGAGUAUCGCGAUGCUGCGGCUCGGGUGUUGGUUCUCCGCGGUGGUGGUGAUCAUGAGGAGUAGAUGGGGUGUGCCGGGUGCUAACUGUUGUUAGGGGGGUGAUUAGCUGGAUGUAACACCGUUGCAAAGUUUUGCAAACAGUGUAUGUGUCCGAAUGAUUAUGGUUGUGAGUCUGCUCAUGGUGCUAAGUGAAAUUAAAUAAUCCACGUCGUGAGAAAGUGUAGAUGUAGCAACUUAGGGAAAAGAAAAUCUCACUCCAGGGUUUUGCGAGGGAAAAAUAGUUAAUUUAAAGGAGCAUAAACCACAACAAAAACUACACACAUUAGCAGAAGCCAAAUAAUUGACUCGUCGUACAAACUCAGGGUAUUACGCAUAAGUCACACACAUAAAUAAAUGCUGCAAAGAACAAAUACAGUAGUGACGUCUAAAAUGAAAAUGGUAACUGGGCGGGGUGCUGAUAAAAUGUCUCUGGUAAAGGGAUACAUUCUUCUUCAAUUGGAGGCAGUGGAUUGACCUGUCGAUGUAUGCGUCUCUCCGUGUCGGGUCUCAGUGGUCUGCCGAUGGCAAUCUGAGGAUUUAAAUCUGCGAGGCUCUGGAGAUAAUCCAUCACUCGCUGGUUUAAAUGCUCUUGAGCAAUUAUGUACUGGAUAAGGUUGGCCAGAACUGGGUCUCUCUCAAUACGUCCACCGGGAAAAGAUGUAACUUCUCUGGGUGCUGCACGACUCGGAAAGUAAUGAUAUCCUCGUUCGCGGGCAUAGGGUACUGCGGAUCGAAGACGAGCAAUCGCUUCUUUCGCAGCAGCUUCUAUGGCCAAGUGUGGGGUUGGCAUAGAUUUCCCCACGAAGGAAACUUCCGUUGGAUCUUGGUUGGGGUCUACAGGAGGAAUGUGUACUGCUGCCCAAUAUUCCGAGGUGGAUGGGGUGAUCCUCGAUUUGAACAGCUCGUACUGGGGUGGCUGGGUAGAACCCAUGGUACUGCGGGUAAAAUCCCACAAUAUUUUGACAAAGCUACCUGGGGUUGCAUCUGGGGUUCUCAGAUGAAUGCUGGGGUUCGGCAUGACAGGAAAAAGCGUGAGUGUUGUGCACAAAGUGAGGGUUGCUGGGUAAGGUCACAAGGUGGCCUUUAUAUAGCAAUGGAGCCGAAUCGUUUUACCGUGGUGAAAGGUAAAAAUUUGCCAGCUUAGCUCCAAAGGUCGGGUCAGUGUCGGAGAUACACAUAUCUCAUAAAAAGACGCGUUACUGUGGUUGUCGUCGGGUUGGUUUUGGUAGUUGUGCCCGGAAAAAUAUGUAGCUAUGCGCUGACCAAUUAUGCAAGGCUACUAUUAAGACAGGCACAACGACAGGCUGCAUUAAUAUACACGGCCGCGUGAUUACAAAGUGAGGAUACAUUGAAACUUGGUGCUACUCAUACUGCUUAGUCUACCUCGUUUAUGUCUAAACGGGCGUGCCUGGUGGAUGUCGAGGCUUCUCCACGUGCCUCUCUGCCGGGAUUAGUCGGAGAUGGCGGAGGAACUGCAGGGUCGGGGUAGUGAGAAUGACCAUUGCAGGGAUUGUUGGCCACAACCCCGUUGGAGUGUGCUCCCAAUAUGCGACGAAGCACUUCUGGGGUUAUCGCAGCACCUUGGCCGAUGGCUGGGGCAGAUCUCGGGGUCUCGAUUGGUUGUCCAAACAGCACGACUGGGUUGUCGGUGUUGGGCUCGUUUUCUUCUCUCGCCGGGGCUCAACGAACCAGCUCCCCACGAGCUGCAAUCAGAUCAACAGUGAUCUGGUCGAACAGUGCCUCUAGUGCACUUACAUAGCGCACUAGGUGCAACAAUGCGGGGUCCGUCUCGUGAUCUCCAUUGGCAACUUGGGGUGGUCUACCAUACCCUUCACGUCUGGGAUAGUAGUGGAACAAGCGACAGUUAACUCUGGGCGACAAGUGCCUGAGAUGAACUAUAGCCUCUCGAGCGGCUAGCUGGAUGGCUUGUGGCUCAAAGGAAGUUGUUCUUCCGGUGAACCGGUAGGGACGCUCAGGUGCUAGACUCCUACCGUAAAUGUGCACAGUGGCCCAGAAUUGGUGGUCUUCCCCGCUCAUGGGUCCUUGAUACACAACAUAUUCUGGUGGCUCCUCUAAUGCGUAGGCACGACAGGUGAGGUUUGCGAGGAUGGUCACAAAACCUCCAAGGUUGGUUGCUAUGGUUUCGUUGUGCACUAUAGGUCCAGGCAUUGUGGCUCGGUUUGGGGUAGCGGCUGUGUGUGCUGGUUUGGUGUUAGCGCGCCCCUUUUUAUAGGGAAAAGGGGACGGAAUCUUCCUUCGAACGCUUGCGAGAAAGGACUAUUUAGGGGCCGGUCACUGGCGCAUGAGUGACAGGUUAGGUUGAUAGGUUGGGCACCGACUGCCAAAAGUGUUGGGUCACUGUGUGGCUAUCUUGCACGAGAAGCUUGGCUGGGGUUUGGUUAAGGUCUGGUGGGUUGGUUUGCCUAGUUUAUUGACCUGGCUAAGAUAGGAUUAGCCAAUGGUCAGCCUGGCUCUGAUACCAAGUCUGUCGCGACCGGGUUUUCCGGGUAAUAAAUUUCCAGAAAAGACCGUCGUGCUCAUCAGCCCCAGGAUUACUGUUAGCUGAUGAGGCUCCAACUUGAUACAGAAAUUCCAAGCAAAAUACAAAAUAUGUAGUACAAGACCAUUCUGGCCUGUGAGUACAACAAAUGGUUUCUAGUGGUUGAUGGCGGAAGCGGGUUGUGAAACAUCUGUGUCUAUGGGACUCCAUUUCCCACGGGAACAGCUGACCAUGUUAAUUCCUAUCUUCGCGAGGCUGCUAUCUCCAUUGAGUGGGUUCCGGGGCUGGCAUUCGUGUCGCUCCUCUCCGUGCGAGCAAAAUCUGGCCAAGACAAUAGCCAGGGACAAGCCAGUGAGUACUUUGAAUGUACUCGCAAACAUUAUGAACACAGGUAUAAUAUAACCAUGAUGUGCUAAAAAUAUUUUUAUGCUCAUGACGUCAGUCAAAAAUAGUAAAUAAAAUACUGAUGCGUGCAGGCGGUUAUUUAUAAAAAAAAUGCAAUACAUAGCAGUAUUAAAAUUUAUGAAAUAAAUAACAAGCAAUGCCACAGUCGGGCGUCUGAGCGACACCACAUAAAGGGCUUUAAAAGAAAUGCCACAGUCGGGCGUCUGAGCGAUGCCACAUAAAGGGCUUUAAAAGAAAUGCCACAGUCGGGCGUCUGAGCGACGCCACAUAAAGGGCUUUAAAAGAAAUGCCACAGUCGGGCGUCUGAGCGACGCCACAUAAAGGGCUUUAAAAGAAAUGCCACAGUCGGGCGUCUGAGCGACGCCACAUAAAAGGCUUUAAAAGAAAUGCCACAGUCGGGCGUCUGAGCGACGCCACAUAAAGGGCUUUAAAAGAAAUGCCACAGUCGGGCGUCUGAGCGACGCCACAUAAAGGGCUUUAAAAGAAACAAUCAUAAUGAAUAUCCCUGGAGGUAGAACCAUCCCAGAGAUACUAGAUAAUAACAAUAAUAUCAUGGGUUAGUCAACAAUAAUAAUAAUCAUCAUAGAUAUCACAAGUCACGAGUAGUAAUUCCAUUUUCUGGUUAACAGUUUCACCUCCGAAGACCGACACUAAGACCGACACCUGACCCAUCCCAGACUGUAAUCCUUAACCAUGGACACGGCUAUUCGAAUAGGUUUAUUCUCUGUAGAGGGUGUACUCUUUACCCACGAGUAACGGAUCUCUUUAGUCCAUCGGGACUAAUUCCGUCUACGGUCUUUUUGUUGAAAACACACCUAACUUGCACACACUAGCCUAUCUCACACGUGUCUGGAAUCACGCACGACACCUGUUAAGCAAACUCUAAGUGGGGAGGCUACAACCUCGCGUAGCAUGGGAUCAAAUUUAUAUCGCGCGCUCUAAGGGGUGGCCUCCCCUCUCGGUCCCAACCGGAAACACCCAUGCCCCCGGACCAGGUGGCCUGCCUACCAGCUACAACCGGUAUCUUCCACCAUGGCCUCUCUGUACGGUGUGUGCUGGAAAGAGGUUGACAACUUACUAAACCGUACUCUACUUGCUGUAGAGACGAGUGGUAGUACGAAACAAGUAUGGGGGUUACUGGAACAAGACUCGAUCUACGGUCGACUCAGGAGGUUCAAGUAUUCCCUGCAUGAUUAGCAUGACACAUAUAUUUCAUCCAACAAAGUCACCGCUCAUAUCACCUUACCAUGCCAUACCAGACAUAACCGUCCCGACGGAGACCGGCGACAAACUCAUGCCUACCCAAGGCCGAGGUUUUCCCGGGUUCCUGCCGGUAUGCAUGCAAGGCACAUGAGGGUGAUUAUCAUCACAAGUGAGUCCAUUUCCAACAGCAUGGAAAUCAACAACAUGCACCCAUGCAUAUGAUCAUAUCACAUGAAAUAACAAGUCCUUCGAAAUGCGGUGGUGUUAUAAAUGUAUCAACGAUCACACCAAAAAAUAUUAUGCUGGGGUUCAGAAUGCUUGCCUUCAAUGUUGUGGAGGGGUGAGGUGCUCUCCAAAACUUUUGAAAGCUUCUUCUCUCUCCCCAAAAUCCUAUUUAAAAAUAUAUUUGAAUUAACACAUAUUUCAAAAACAGAACCAAAAAGUUGUUUGAAUUUUUUUCAAAUAAAUCUUAAAAUAAACUAGAUCAAAUUUGAGGAAGGUAGGAAAAAGAAUCAUUUCAUUUGGACUUAUAUUUAAAAAGUUAUAGCCAGUCAAAGAUUUGGUCAAAUCUGUUAUUUAAAUUAAAACAGAAAAGAAAACGUUUCAGACGAGAUUACGCUUUCGGUACAGAGGAGGCGUACUUGAGGCUUUACGCCUCCACUUAACCACGUGGACGGUGCGGGGUGUCACUGACAGUGGGCCUGCCUGGCCCACUGGUCAGGUUUGACCAGUCGCCGCGCGUCGUCUCCCUCCUUUGCCCGAGCGGAGCGGGGCUCUGGCGAUCGUCGCCGGCGUUUGUCUGCUCCUUGCGGGCCCCCGAGGGUGGGGAUGGAUCCGUAAGGUUGGGGCGGUCCUCCCGGUAGUCGUUGGGUCGGCGGGGACGGAGUGAGCUGCCGGCGGCGAGCUCCGCGGCGGAAGAAGGCUUCGGUGGCGAAGUGACUUUGUGGCGGCGUUGGCUCCCGAUCAAAAUCAAGUAGGGGAAAAGGCUCACGGGAGGAUGUGGAAGCUCUUGGUGGAGAGAACGGAGAGUGGGAGAUACUGGAGGUGCCGGAUUGGCCGGGGCGGUGGCGGCGGCAGGAGUUGCCGGAGAUGAGGAAGGAGCCCUCCCCCGGGUCGAUUGGCUGCCAAUGGGGGUCCUCUGGAGGUGGCUUGGGACUGCCUGCGUGCGGAGAUGAGCUCGGGGCUCCUUAUAUAGGCGAGUCGAGGCGGUUCAGCAGCGGCCGUGGAUAAGCUUCCGGCGAACCGACGUUCUGUAGCAGCAGGGCAUCGUGGUGGCGACGAGCGCUAGCGGACAUGGCUGCGGAUGAGCACGCGCUGUUCCAGGGGCCAGGUGGCGAGCGGGAGUGGCUUGGGCGGCGCUAAACGGCGUAGGGCUGCCGGGCGGCGGCGGCGGCUAGUGCUUGUCCUGCCGGGCGCGGCGAGGGGCGGCUUGGCGCGUAGCUGAGAGAAGGGGAGCGCGUGGCGUGAUGCUGCUGUGUGGGCCAAAGCCAGGGGGCCAGCGUGUCGGCUCGGGCGCGCGGCUGCAAUACGCGCGCUCUGGGCGCGCUCUGGGUGUGCACGAGAUGUGUUCGACACUAUGCCAGAGCACGCUAGAGGUCGCGGUCGAGGCUGGCAAUUAACAGACCCAGGUUAGGAGCAACUGGAAUCCUAGUGGACAUGCUAGUAUGAUCCAAGGUGCAAGGUCACAAUGCAAAGACAAAAUCAUGUCAAAACUGGCCAUGCACACCAGGUGUUUGACAAAAUGCUAAGGGCACUCAGGCAGGUCUUGGAAUGGUCAAAAACUCCAGAUCAAGAUCUCCUUAGAUGCAAGAGAGAGUGGUGAGGUUAGUUGGCCAAAAGCAGAAACUUGUUAGUGCAAGUUUCACAAAACUUCAAUUCUGGACAGGAAAUAAAUAGCAUUAUUUCAUGAACCAAAAAUGAUCCAAAAGGUGCAUGCUCCUGGACUUAAGGGUUUAACAUGGGGGACUACAAGUAGGAGAAAUAAUCAAGGGUUAAAGAGCAAGUAAAAACAUGGUUGCUGUACAAACCAUCAAGUUGGUCCAGAAUGAAGAUGAGGUUGAUUCACUCAAAUUUUUCAAAGAACAUAAAUAGGUUUUUGCACAAAGUGAAACAAUAGGCUCCUACUGACCUCCCCUAAUUUUGGUAGAAGUUUUAAAGAAAUAUUUAAAUAGGUUGUAGUGCAAAAUGCACUCUGGACCAGAGAAGAAAAAUUGAGUGUAGGGCUCAAAAUAUUUCAUGAAUGAAAUAUAUUUUAGCAUAAAAGUGAUUUAAAAACAUCACAUGACAUCUACAAAUUUUUGUGGGAAUUUUAAGUGAAUUUAUCAAAUGGUUGUAGUUCAAAUAAGGCCAUUUAAUAAAAAAAACCAUUUUCCAAGAAAACAAUGAUCAAGCAACUAAAUUAGUUAAUUAGUUAUAUUGGAUAAGGGAAAGUUUUACUUGAGAGGUUAAUCAAGUCCAAUAACACAUUUGAAAAGUUUUCUCUCUGGGAAAAACUCAUAAUAACAGGGAAGGAAAAGAUUUAAAAAAAUCAAAAAUGGAGCUCAAACAUUCAAAGUUUUAAAUCCUGGCAAAAUUUUAUUCCAUUAAAACAAGGCCAAAAUUUUGGGGUGUCACAACACCGGAAUGGUUUCCGGGAGUUUCGGACAUAUACCGGAGUACCGGGGGGUUACCGGAACCCCCCGGGGAGUUUAAUGGGCCAAGAUGGGCUUUAGUGGAGAAGAGGAGGGGUGGCUAGGGCAGGCCGCGCCCCCUCCCCCUCUAGUCCGAAUUGGACAAGGAAGGGGGGGCGCCCCCUUUCCUUCCUCUCUCUCCUUCCCUUCCUUUUCCCCUCCUACUCCAAAUAGGAAAAGAGGGAGUCCUACUCCCGAUGGGAGUAGGACUCCUCCCUGGCGAGCCUUCCCCUGGCCGACCGCCUCCUCCCCCUGGUCCGUUAUAUACGGGGCAGGGGGCACCUCUAGACACAACAAUUGAUCUCUUGAUCUCUUAGCCAUGUGCGGUGCCCCCUCCACCAUAUUCCACCUCGAUCUUAUCGUAGCGGUGCUUAGGCGAAGCCCUGCAUCGAUAGCAACAUCAUCACCGUCACCAUGCCGUCGUGCUGGCGGAACUCCCCUGUGAAGCUCUGCUGGAUCAGAGUUCGCGGGACGUCAUCGAGUUGAACGUGUGCCGGACUCAGAGGUGCCGUACAUUCGGUACUUGGAUCGGUCGGAUCGUGAAAACGUACGACUACAUCAACCGCGUUGUGCUAACGCUUCCGCUUUCGGUCUACGAGGGUACGUAGACAACACUCUUCCCUCUCGUUGUGAUGCAUCACCAUGAUCCUAUUUGUGCGUAGGAAUUUUUUUGAAAUUACUACGUUCCCGAACAGUGGUAUCAGAGCCAGGUUUUAUGCGUAGAUGUUAUAUGCAUGAGUAGAACACAAAUGAGUUGUGGGCGAUACAAGUCAUACUGCUUACCAGCAUGUCAUACUUUGGUUCGGUGGUAUUGUUGGAUGAAGCGGCCCGGACCGACAUUACGCGUACGCUUACGCGAGACUGAUUCUACUGACGUGCUUUGCACACAGGUGGCUGGCGGGUGUCAGUUUCUCCAACUUUAGUUGAACCAAGUAUGGCUACGCCCGGUCCUUGAGAAGGUUAAAAUAGCACUAACUUGACGAACUAUCGUUGUGGUUUUGAUGCAUAGGUAAGAACGGUUCUUGCUCAGCCUGUAGCAUCCAUGUAAAACUUGCAACAACAAAGUAGAGGACGUCUAACUUUUUUUGCAGGGCAUGUUGUGAUGUGAUAUGGUCAAGGCAUGAUGCUAAAUUUUAUUGUAUGAGAUGAUCAUGUUUUGUAACCGAGUUAUCGGCAACUGGCAGGAGCCAUAUGGUUGUCUCUUUAUUGUAUGCAAUGCAAUCGCCCUGUAAUUGCUUUACUUUAUCACUAAGCGGUAGCGAUAGUCAUAGAAGCAAUAGUUGGCGAGACGACAAUGAUGCUACGAUGGAGAUCAAGGUGUCGCACCGGCACUACAAAAAAAAUACACUUCCGUGAUGAUACGUGUUUGUCACAGUAGGUCGCUUUUUUGUCAUGCAUAUACAUCCAUGACAAAUUUAUGACAGAAUCAAGAUAGUCAUAACUGUGCUGUCGUAGAAGUGUUCCAUGACAUACGAAAAUUAUCAUCACGGAAGUGUCCACUUCCAUGAUGAUAAAUCGCGCGUCACAGAAGUGCUUUCGUCAAGGGUGACCGACACGUGGCAUCCACCAUAACGGAACGCCGUUAAGCUAUCGGGUCGGGUUUUGGAUCCGAUAACCCGUUACCAGCCCCAACCAAUGGGGAUUUUCCAUGUGUAAAAUCAUCAUUGGCUAGAGGAAACACGUGUCGGCUCAUCGUCGGGACAGAUGUCAUCCACUCACUGGACAGAAGGCGCCUAUGAUACGUCGACACGUGGCACGGCCCAACAAGUUUAAAUGGGCCGGCCCAACUAGAGGCUGCUACGUCUUAAGCUUGCGUUGGUUUUCCCCGAAGAGGAAGGGAUGAUGCACCAGAGUAGCGUAAGUAUUUCCCUCAGUUUUUAGAACCAAGGUAUCAAUCCAGUAGGAGGCCACACUCAAGUCCCUUGUACCUGCACAAAACGAUAGCUACUCGCAACCAACGCGAUUAGGGGUUGUCAAUCCCUUCAUGGCCACUUAUGAGAGUGAGAUCUGAUAGAUAUAAUAUUUUUGGUAUUUUUAGUAUAAAGAUGCAAAGUAAAAAGUAAAAGCAAAGUAAAAAAGCAAAGCAAGAUUAAAGUGAUGGAGAUUGAUAUGAUGAGAAUAGACCCGGGGGCCAUAGGUUUCACUAGUGGCUUCUCUCAAGAGCAUAAGUAUUCUACGGUGGGUGAACAAAUUACUGUUGAGCAAUUGACAUAAUUGAGCAUAGUUAUGAGAAUAUCUAGGCAUGAUCAUGUAUAUAGGCAUCACGUUCGUGACAAGUAGAUCGAAACGAUUCUGCAUCUACUACUAUUACCCCACUCAUUGACCGCUAUCCAGCAUGCAUCUAGAGUAUUAAGUUAAAAACAGAGUAAUGCCUUAAGCAAGAUGACAUGAUGUAGAGAGAUAAAUUCAUGCAAUAUGAAAUAAACCCCAUCUUGUUAUCCUCGAUGGCAACGAUACAAUACGUGCCUUGCUGCCCCUUCUGUCACUGGGUAAGGACACUGCAAGGUCGAACCCAAAGCUAAGCACUUCUCCCAUGGCAAGAACUACCAAUCUAGUUGGCCAAACCAAACGGAUAAUUCGAAGAGACUUGCAAAGAUAACCAAUCAUACAUAAAAGAAUUCAGAGAAGAUUCAAAUAUUAUUCAUAGAUAGACUUGAUCAUAAACCCACAAUUCAUCUGUCUCAACAAACACACCGCAAAAAGAAGAUUACAUCGAAUAGAUCUCCACAAGAGAGGGGGAGAACUUUGUAUUGAGAUUCAAAGAGAGAGAAGAAGCCAUCUAGCUACUAACUAUGGACCCGAAGGUCUGAGGUAAACUACUCACACUUCAUCGGAGGGGCUAGGAUGAUGUAGAAGCCCUCCGUGAUGACGGCCCUCUUCCGGAGGAGCUCUAGAACAAGCCCCAAGAUGGGAUCUCGUGGAUACAGAAAGUUGCGGCGGUGGAAUUAGGUUUUUGGCUCCUAUUCUGAUCGUUUGGGGGUACGUAGGUAUAUAUAGGAGGAAGGAGUACGUCGGUGGAGCACCGAGGGGCCCACGAGGCAGGGGGCGCGCCCUAGGGGGGGCGCCCCCCCACCCUCGUGACCUCUUCUUUGAUCCCCUGGAGUAGGGUCCAAGUCUCCUGGAUCACGUUCGGUGAGAAAAUCAUGUUCCCGAAGAUUUUAUUCCGUUUGGACUCCGUUUGAUAUUCUGUUUAUCCAAACACUAAAAUAGGCAAAAAAAAUAGCAAUUCUAGGCCGGGCCUCCGGUUAAUAGGUUAGUCCCAAAAAUAAUAUAAAAGUGGAAAAUAAAGCCCAAUAUAGUCCAAAACAGUAGAUAAUAUAGCAUGGAGCAAUCAAAAAUUAUAGAUAUGUUGGAGACGUAUUAGGCAUCCCCAAGCUUAAUUCCUGCUCGUCCUCGAGUAGGUAAAUGAUAAAAAUAGAAUUUUUGAUGCGGAGUGCUACUUGGCAUAAUUUCAAUGCAAAUCUUCUUAAUUGUGGUAUGAAUAUUCAGAUUAGAAAGAUUCAAGACAAAAGUUUAUAUUGACAUAAAAAAUAAUAAUACUUCAAGCAUACUAAUAAAGCAAUUUUGUCUUCUCAAAAUAACAUGGCCAAAGAAAGUUAUCCCUACAAAAUCAUAUAGUCUGGCUAUGCUCCAUCUUCACCAGACGAAGUAUUUAAAUCAUGCACAACCCCGAUGACAAGCCAAGCAAUUGUUUCAUACUCUAACUUUUUCAGAACUUUUUUAAUCUUCAUGCAAUACAUGAGCGUGAGGCAUGGAUAUAACACUAUAGGUGGAAUAGAAUGGUGGUUGUGGAGAAGACAAAAAGGAGGGGAAGAUAGUCUCACAUCAACUAGGCGUAUCAACGGGCUAUGGAGAUGCCCAUCAAUAGAUAUCAAUGUGAGUGAGUAGGGAUUGCCAUGCAACGGAUGCACUAGAGCUAUAAAUGUAUGAAAGCUCAACAAAAGAAACUAGUGGGUGUGCAUCCAACUUGCUUGCUCACGAAGACCUAGGGCAAUUUGAGGAAGCCCAUCAUUGGAAUAUACAAGCCAAGUUCUAUAAUGUAAAAUUCCCACUAGUCUAUGAAAGUGACAACAUAUGAGACUCUCUAUAUGAAGAACAUGGUGCUACUUUGAAGCACAAUAUAUGAGACUCGCUAUAUCAUGGUGCUACUUUGAAGCACAAGUGUGGAAAAAAGGAUAGUAGCAUUGCUCCUUUUUAUUUAUUUUCUUUUUUUUGGGCCUUUUUUUUCUUUGGCCUUUCUCUUUUUUUAUUGGGACAAUGCUCUAUUAAAUGAUGAUCAUCACACUUUUAUUUAUUUACAACUCAAUGAUUACAACUCGAUUCUAAAACGAAGUAUGACUCUAUAUGGAUGCCUCCGGCGGUGUACCGGGAUAUGCAAUGAAUCAAGAGUGACAAGUAUGAAGAAAUUAUGAAUGGUGGCUUUGCCACAAAUACUAUGUCAACUACAUGAUCAUGCUAAGCAAUAUGACAAUGAUGAAUGUGUCAUGAUGAACUAGAUGGUGGAAAGUUGCAUGGCAAUAUACCUCAGAAUGGCUAUGGAAAUGCCAUAAUAGGUAGGUAUGGUGGCUGUUUUGAGGAAGGUAUAUGGUAGGUGUAUGAUACCGGCGAAAGGUGCGCGGUAUUAGAGAGGCUAGCAAAGGUGGAAGGGUGAGAGUGCGUAUAAUCCAUGGACUCAACAUUAGUCAUAAAGAACUCAUAUACUUAUUGCAAAAAUCUAGAAGUUAUCAAAGCAAAGUAUUACGCGCAUGCUCCUAGGGGGAUAGAUUGGUAGGAAAAGACCAUCGCUCGUCCCCGACCGCCACUCAUAAGGAAGACAAUCAAUAAAUAAAUCAUGCUCCGACUUCGUCACAUAACGGUUCACCAUACGUGCAUGCUACGGGAAUCACAAACUUUAACACAAGUAUUCUUUAAAUUCACAACUAAUCAACUAGCAUGACUUUAAUAUUAUCACCUCCAUAUCUCAAAACAAUUAUCAUGCUUCAAUCUUUUCUUAGUAUUCAACACACUCAAAAGAAAGUUUCACAAAUCUUGAAUACCAAGCAUACUAUUAUUAAGCAAAUUACCAUGCUAUUAAUAGACUCUCAAAAUAAUUUAAGUGAAGCAUGAGAGAUCAAUAGUUUCUUUUAAAACAAAUCCACCAUCGUGCUCUAAAAGAUCUAAGUGAAGCACAUAGAACAAAAUUAUAACACUCAAAAGAUAUAAGUGAAGCACAAAGAGCAAAAUUAACUAGCUCAAAAGAUAUAAGUGAAGCGCAUAGAGCAAAACUACUUAGCUCAAAAGAUAUAAAUGAAGCACAUAGAGCAAAACUACUUAGCUCAAAAGAUAUAAGUGAAGCACAUAGAGUAUUCUUAUCAAAUUUUAAUUCAUGUAUGGCUCUCUCAAAAGGUGUGUACAGAAAGGAUGAUUGUGGCAUACUAAGACACAAAAACACAAAUAGUACAAGACGCUCCAAGAAAAACACAUAUCAUGUUGGUGAAUAAAAAUAUAGCUCCAAGUAAAUUACCGAUGGAAGUGGACGAAAGAGGGGAUGCCUUCCGAGGCAUCCCCAAGCUUUGAAUUUUUGGUGUCCUUGGAUUAUCUUGGGGGUGCCAUGGGCAUCCCCAAGCUUAGGCUCUUGCCACUCCUUGUUCCAUGAUCCAUCAAAAGAAUUCACCCAAAACUUGAAAACUUCACAACACAAAACUCAAAAUAGAAAACUCGUGAGCUCCGUUAGCGAAAGAAAACAAAAGACCACUUCAAGGUACUGUAAUGAACUCAUUCUUUAUUUAUAUUGGUGUUAAACCUACUGUAUUCCAACUUCUCUAUGGAUUAUAAACUAUUUUACUGGCCAUAGAUUCAUCAAAAUAAGCAAACAACACACGAAAAUAAGAAUCUGUCAAAAACAGAACAGUCUAUGGUAAUCUGUAGCUAGCGCAAGAUCUGGAACCCCAAAAAUUCUAAAAUAAAUUGCUGGACGUGAGGAAUUUAUCUAUUAAUCAUAUGAAAAAAUAAUUAACUAAAUAACACUCUUCAAAUAAAAAUGACAGCAGUUCUCGUGAGCGCUAAAGUUUCUGUUUUUUACAGCAAGUUCAACAAGACUUCCCCCAAGUCUUCCCAACGGUUCUACUUGGCACAAACACUAAUUAAACACAAAAAACACAACCAAAACAGAGGAUAAAUAAUUUAUUUAUUACUAAACAGGAGCAAAAAGCAAGGAAUAAAAAUAAAAUUGGGUUUCCUCCCAACAAGCGCUAUCGUUUAACGCCCCUAGCUAGGCAUAAAAGCGAAGAUAGAUCUAAGUAUUGCCGUAGUAAUAAGAUAGAUCAGUGAAGCUCAUUUCAUAUUCUCUAUGUUCAGCAGCAAGUUUUCUUUGAGGCAAGCAAAAGUAAUCAAAAGGGCUAAAUUUAAUAGGACAGAAGUCCCCAAGAUCAAUUUUAGGAGGUAUAGGUUCCUCUUUCGGCCCUUCGUAAUGUACAACCAAUUCAUCAUUAUAAGCAUUCUUUUGACAGAACUUUGUGAGCCUAGAGUCAAGAGAGUAUCCUAGCUCAUUAUUUCGAAUAGCCAAAUCAUCAUUAAGUUCAGAGAUUCUAUCAAUUAAAAUAUUGGUUGACACCUUUUUUUCUAAGGUUUUCAUUGAAAGCAACAUAGUCAGGAGAUUGAAAGCACAUAAUUUCUUCUUGAUCGAAGAGGAUAGACUCUAUGGGAGGACGACCAGCGUCCACCCUAUAGUGCGCAAAGGUUCCUUUGGCUUCUUUUAUUAUAAAUCUGAAUUCAUGAGCCAAAAAGAUAGUAGCGACACGCUUAACAGAGGAAUGCUCGAUAUUAGAAAAUUCUAGGAAAACUCUUUGUAUAGAUGGGUGCAUAUGCAUAAAUUGCCUUUCAAGUUCAAGAAUAAGCAUGGCAAUAGCGUCCGCAAGACUACUUGUUCUAUGGAGAACCGCCCAUAGAGGGCAAAGCACUGGCACAAGUAAAGAAAUCUUGAAUAACUCCUUUCCCAAUAAUAUUACCACUACUGAUUCAAAAUCUUUUUGUAUGGUAGGUAGGGGGUUCUUCAGCAGGAGCAUCAGAAUUUUCCAUGAUAUUGUUAUCGCCCAUAUUGGCGAUAACUUUCCCAAUUUCAAACAUAACGACAAGCAAGCAAACUAGCACACGAGCAAACAAAAAGCAAGUGGGCAAAAGAGGCAAAUAGAGAGGGAGGAUAGAGAGAGAGAGAGAGAGAGAGAACGAAUAAAAUGGCAAGGGUGAAUUGGGGGAGAGGAAAAUGAGAGGCAAAUGACAAAUAAUGUAAUGCGAGAGAUAGGGGUUGUGAUGGGUACUUGGUAUGUUGACUUUUUGCGUAGACUCCCCGGCAACGGCGCCAGGAAUCCUUCUUGCUACGUCUUGAGCUUGCGUUGGUUUUCCCCGAAGAGGAAGGGAUGAUGCAGCAGAGUAGCGUAAGUAUUUCCCUCAGUUUUUGAGAACCAAGGUAUCAAUCCAAUAGGAGGCCACGCUCAAGUUCCUCGUACCUGCACAAAACGAUAGCUACUCGCAACCAACGCGAUUAGGGGUUGUCAAUCCCUUCAUGGUCACUUACGAGAGUGAGAUCUGAUAGAUAUAAUAUUUUUGGUAUUUUUAGUAUAAAGAUGCAAAGUAAAAAGUAAAAGCAAAGUAAAAAAGCAAAGCAAGAUUAAAGUGAUGGAGAUUGAUAUGAUGAGAAUAGACCCGGGGGCCAUAGGUUUCACUAGUGGCUUCUCUCAAGAGCAUAAGUAUUCUACGGUGGGUGAACAAAUUACUGUUGAGCAAUUGACAGAAUUGAGCAUAGUUAUGAGAAUAUCUAGGCAUGAUCAUGUAUAUAGGCAUCACGUUCGUGACAACUAGAUCGAAACGAUUCUGCAUCUACUACUAUUACUCCACUCAUGGACCGCCAUCCAGCAUGCAUCUAGAGUAUUAAGUUAAAAACAGAGUAACGCCUUAAGCAAGAUGACAUGAUGUAGAGAGAUAAAUUCAUGCAAUAUGAAACAAACCCCAUCUUGUUAUCCUCGAUGGCAACGAUACAAUACGUGCCUUGCUGCCCCUUCUGUCACUGGGUAAGGACACCGCAAGAUCGAAUCCAAAGCUAAGCACUUCUCCCAUGGCAAGAACUACCAAUCUAGUUGGCCAAACCAAACGGAUAAUUCGAAGAGACUUGCAAAUAUAACCAAUCAUACAUAAAAGAAUUCAGAGAAGAUUCAAAUAUUAUUCAUAGAUAGACUUGAUCAUAAACCCACAAUUCAAUGGUCUCAACAAACACACCGCAAAAAGAAGAUUACGUCGAAUAGAUCUCCACAAGAGAGGGGGAGAACUUUGUAUUGAGAUUCAAAGAGAGAGAAGAAGCCAUCUAGCUACUAACUAUGGAGCUGAAGGUCUGAGGUAAACUACUCACACUUCAUCGGAGGGGCUAGGAUGAUGUAGAAGCCCUUCGUGAUGACGGCCCUCUUCCGGAGGAGCUCCGAAACAGGCCCCAAGAUGGGAUCUCGUGGAUACAGAAAGUUGCGGUGGUGGAAUUAGGUUUUUGGCUCCUGUUCUGAUCGUUUGGGGGUACGUAGGUAUAUAUAGGAGGAAGGAGUACGUCGGUGGAGCACCGAGGGGCCCACGAGGCAGGGGGGCACGCCCUAGGGGGGCCCCACCCUCGUGACCUCCUCUUUGAUCCCCUGGAGUAGGGUCCAAGUCUCCUGGAUCACGUUCGGUGAGAAAAUCACGUUCCCGAAGAUUUUAUUCCGUUUGGACUCCGUUUGAUAUUCUGUUUAUCCGAAACACUGAAAUAGGCAAAAAAAAUAGCAAUUCUGGGCUGGGCCUCCGGUUAAUAGGUUAGUCCCAAAAAUAAUAUAAAAGUGGAAAAUAAAGCCCAAUAUAGUUCAAAACAGUAGAUAAUAUAGCAUGGAGCAAUCACAAAUUAUAGAUACGUUGGAGACGUCUCAGAGGCCCACAAGAUUUUGCGGACCAUAAUGGGCCGGCCCAGCUAAAGGCCCAUGAAAUUUUGCAGACCAUAAUGGGCUGAACCAGCUAAAGGCCCACAAGAUUUUGCGGGCCAUAAUGGGCCGGCCCAGGUAAAGGCCCAUGAGAUUUUUUUGUGCCAUAAUGGGACGGCCCAGGUAAAGGCCCACAAGAUUCUUGCAGGUCAUAAUGGGCCGACCCAGCUAAAGGCCCAUGAGAUUUCGCCGACAUUAAUGGGCCGGCCCAGCUGUAGGCCCACAAGAUUUUGAGGACCCUAGUAGGCCGGCCCAUUAACUGGCUGCCAUGUUUUGGGCCAAAUGCCGGCCCAUAUUUGAUCCGGUCCAUUAAUGGCCUGCCACCCUCCGGGCCUAAUAGUGGCCCAUAUGAGAUCCGGCCCGUUAAAAGCCUACCACGUUCUGGGCCAAAUUACAGCCCAGAUCAGGUCCGGCCCUUUAAGAGGCUUUGGGCUCAAUUAUGGCCCAUAUUAGAUUCGGCCCGUCAACUGGACACUAUGCUUUUGGGCCCACUUGCUAAGGGCCCACUUAGUAAUUUGGCCUGAUAUUAGUUUUGGCCUGUUAAGGGCCCGUUUAACAUUUCAGCCCUAUAUUAAAUUCGGCCUGUUAAAAGCCCGUCAUAUAGUUGGGCCUAAAUACGGCCCGGUUUGCAUCCGGCCUGCUCGCAGCCGAUAUCUGAUUGGGCCAAACAAGGACCCAGACAAUUUUGGCCUGUUAAAAGCCCAUGAUUUGAUUCGCACAAUCAUGGGCCGGGGUUCAUUUCGGGCUGCUGCGUAACUAGUAGGAAUUAAGAACAAACCUACUCUAUACAAUAAAGAAAUUACGGCAUAGUAACUAAGAAUAAACCUACACUACACAAUAAAGGAUUUAAGGUAUAUUACAUCCACUGGGUAUCAAAGUUCGCCACCAGUGAUCAUAAAGCGCAACGAAGAAGCAGAUUACAAAAACUGGGCACCAUUGCAGCGUAACAAAAUAAUACUGAACCGAGACCACUUCCAAGACAGUUCAAGAAAGGUUAGCCUUGCGGGGGAACUGCUGCGCAAGCUGUCGAGCAAGGCUAUGAAACCGGCCUAGCAUGUCGGUCAUAGCUUCCAGGUGUAGCUAUUUAGCGAUGAGGUUCUCAUUGGUGUUCUCCGCAAUCUUUCUUAGAGAUAGGACUUCAAGUCGAAGUUGAGUUGCAGAAUGCCUUUCUGCUAGAACUUGGGACUGAAGAAGUCGAACUCAUUCAGACAACGAAUUCUGUGAGCUUGUCUGACUGUUAGUCUCAAGUAACUUGAACACUGCAUCAAGACAAGACUUUGGGGUUGUCUCGCUAUCUUCAAGAUGUUUUUCCUUCUUUACUGCAAUAUAUGUUGGGUUUGUCUCACAGCCUUCAGCAGACUUGUGCAUGCCAUCAAGCAUAUCACCCUGAAACAAAGCAGAGAGAUGACAGGUUUUGCACGUGUAUAAACAAAGAUGAUAACUGUUCUGUCAAUUCUAUCCAAUUUCAAAUUAGAAAAUAAAGAGUAUGUUCAAAAUAUCAAUAGCAUAAUUUGGCAUUGUUCAUAAUGCGGGGAGCUUCACCACACUACUGGAUUACCAUGUUAACAUAACAAGCAUAGAUGAAGGGCAAAGAAAAUCAUUGUAUCUAUUUUGGAUAAUGUGCAUGGCAUGUUGUUCAUAUCAUCAGCCACAUCAGUAAGAUAAAACAGGAGAUGACAAGGUGCAAACUUGGGCUGCUUCACCACACACUGGAUUAUAGAUCCACAAAAACAAGCAUACAUAUAGGGAGUAUUAAGUAAUGUGCAUGGUAUGAAUAAGGAAUUUGGUUUUACAAGUAAAACUUAGAACAUACGGUUCUUACGAACAUGCAUUUUGGUAGAAACAGCAAACUAAACAGCAGUAAACGAUAGGGAGUAUGAGCAAAUUAAACAGCAGUUGAGGAUAAAGGCUUUAGAAGGACUAACUUACAUUAACAGUUAACACCGGCUUUAUAAUGCCCUUCUCCAUGGCAAGGGAAGGAUAACUCAAGAAUUUCAGCACAUAAUCUUCUUCAUAAGCAUUGCCUGUACUCUACAUUUUGUAGAGAGUAAUUAUAGAUAUGAUAAUACUGGAAGGGAUAGAGGAUAAUGAAGAUAAGAUGCAGAUUGAUGCUACAUAAUCAACUACCAAUCCAUGGAAGUACAAGCGUUACAGGACAAAAUGUACUGACAAGAGCAAUGGGCUACACUUCUGCACUGGCAUUGUCUGUGUAUUCUACUUGUUGGUAAGAUUAAAUAUAGAUCUGAUUUUUUUAGUAAAUGGUGGGCGAGGGAGAUAAGAUGCAGAAUGCUCCAAAAUGAACCAAUCCCUCUUCCCAUAAUACAAGAGUGUUUUGAACACUAGUGUACUUUACAAAACAUUCUUAUAUUAUGGGACAAUGGGAGUAGCUGUUAAUGUAAGUACAGUGAUAGACCAUGUUCAGUCCUUACAAGAGGACUGCAGAGCUAAACCUCUUCAAAAGCAUUGGGUUGAUUCUAAAUUUAUGUAAGAGUCCAUACGGAUCUUAUAAUGUCCACCAAAUGGACGACUACAAGGCUAACAUGUGCAGUGAUGCUACAUAAUCAAACAGCUAUGAAAGUAAGUAUGGUCAUACAGGGCAAGAGGUACUCACAAGAGCAAUGCAGUGUGCAGUACAGUUGCGAGAUUCUGUGGUCCCUUGAGAACGAAUGUUCUUCUGCUAACAGUUUUCAUACAAGUGAGACAUUAAGGCAAAUGCAGAAAUGUAGUUCAAAUUGUGAUGUGAUACCAUAGACAGUACCUUACGCUGCAGCCGAGACCAAUGGGUAACAAGAUUAUUCCAGUCACCGUCGGAUAAAUGUAGCACUGGAGACUUUAUAGAAAUUUCGUUCAGAGGCUUGCCAUCAAAGAGCGCUUGCCUCAGGUAGGAAUGAUACUUCAUCAACGAGUGCUUGAAAAGCGCAACCAACCCUUGCUCAUCAUCACAAUCCAGUUUGCGCCUCGCCUAUUUAAAAGAAUGAAAUCUUGUGUCUUCUGUCAGCAGAAACAUAUGCAGUAAUGACCAUGAAUAACAUUAGUACAUUACUUACGCGUAAAUUGCGGAGGAAGACUGGAAAUUGUUCUGUGUCUGCGGUAUAAUCUUUCCAUGAAGGAAAGAUGUGCACAAAGUUCCUGACAACAACAUAAGCUUCGUCUUCUAAACUGGGAAGAAAUGGAACAGGGGUCCUAUUUGCUGCAAUUGGGGCUCUCUCUGGUUCGAAAAGGGAUUUGGCAACUGGAUUUGGUGUACUCUUUGUUGGAAUGGGGGUUUUGCAUCGUACAGCUGGUGCUAUGUCAACUGGCAUAAUUAUACUGUUUGCUGCAGUUGGGGUCUGCUGAGUUGGGGCAUCAGAAAUGACCAGUGUAGUAGAGCUAGAGUCUGCUAGAGUUGGGGUAUUUUGUGGGUCAGGUGAUAUUGCAACUACACCUAAUGGGCUAUUUGAUUUAUCAGGUGCCACUACCUUUUCCAAAUACUUUGCUUGUGCUCCUCCACGAUCAGCAAUCGCCCUCUUCCUUUUGAACGUCUGAUACACAAGAACAACAUUUGAAUGGAUAAAUAUGGUAUGAUGACAGAUGGAAUAUGUACUGAAAAUGGAUAGGCAGGGCGUAUUCACAUACAUGAUGUGUAAACUAAGCUAAUGGCAGUUCAACAAAGUAGAAGCAAUGCAAAGCAUCAGUUGCAAGAUAUGUGCGAGCAAUGUAAUCUUGGAAAGUUAGAGCAAGUACCUUGAUGGGUGAAUAAGAUAGGGCAUCUUCCUCUGACUCCUCCACUAGGGAGCUACAUUGACUUAGGUCUCCCUCUAGCUCAGAAUCUCUGUUAGGAUCAUAUUCUGAGCACGAAUCUGUAGGUGGAGAGUGUUUGCAUUGCAUUGCAUCCAGACUUGAUUUCAGUCCCUUAAUGCCAAGUUUGACAGCCAUGUCAUUGUUCUGCUUUAUUCUUUUCAUGCGCGCAAGCUCAUAAUCAUUAUGAUGCUGUUCAAAAUCUGAGAUUCAUGAAAACAUAAAAAGUAGUCAGAUUAUCUAUGGAAUGCAUUGCGGUUUCAACUCGGAGAGUGUCUCCCUAUAAACCCCUGCAUAUGCAAAGUUCACCUCCCCAACCGUGCUGACCAGACCACACACAGAGAUACACACCCGAGCAGCGAACAUGCAUUUUCGAAACUAAUUUAGGAACAUUUAGCUGACCAAUUAAACAACUCUGUUUUAAUAAUAUCAGAUUCGUAUUUGAACAACUAAGUUUGUUUAGCUUGAUGGGUGGAGCAGUGUUAUUAUGACACGAAGCAUGUAUUAUCGUAUAGUGAUCAUAAAAGGGGGAAACACUAAGCAUAUAUUUUUUUAGCAAAAGAGGGUUUCCCCUCUGAUUUCUAUUAAAGAAACCACCACGGAACCAACAUGAUCAAUUAAACCCUAAGCAUGAUCAAUUAAACCGUAUUAUGGCUGUGCCAUGGCAGAUUUGAAGCUACAAACCGGAGAAAUGAUAUUUAGCAUCCAUUGUUUGCUUCGAACUAAGAACUAAAUUCUAAGAGCUGAAAAGAAAGUAGAGUAACCAAGUUAAGAUCUAUUUUCUGGUUGAGAUAAAAAAGUUGAGGAGAUAUGAAGUACCACCUCUCUUGCGGCGCCGUGUAGGCAUCGGGGGUGCGAUGGCUGUCGGUGGUGUUGAAGCAGAUCUGCGACGGUAGACGGGUGCAUCGGGGGAUAAGUCCCAUUGCGGUGGAAGAGAAGGUCGUGUGAGAGACCCCGGCAAAGAGGACGACGGCACCGAUGAAGCGAGAGGACGCGAUGCAAGGCUAUUGGUCCGUCGCCGUGGAUGAGAAACGUCCAUCUCUAGCAGUGGACGACGCGGUCUUGGUAGGCGCUCUGGCAUGGUGGAGGACGGUGGUGAUGGAUGUGGUGGAGGACGGCGGCGAUGGAUGGGGUGGCGGACGGAGGCUGGUGUGGGAAUGGGGUGUUCUAGCACGGACGGUGUAUGAAUGGGAAAAUGGAGGGAAGGUACGGGGAACCAUGUUUUUGGGACGCGCCUGUCUGAAAUAUGGGAAAGUUAUGAACUUAUCACCCGUUUCAAAUUUGGACGUCUCGUCGGUUGGGGAUAGGACGGUAAUCUCGCAUCUCCCAAAUAUUUGUGGGUAACUAUUUCAGGUGAGGAGAGGGUGUUUUGCCGCCCACGGUUGGCGCCCACGGUGUAUGAACGGGGCUGACAGGUAGGGCGGUUGUGUCACGUCUGAUGGAAGUUACACAUCUGCCCCUAUUUAAAAUAUUAGCCUACAUCUAUUUCGGACGAGGAGAGGGUGUUUUGCCGCCCACCGUGUAUGAAUGGGGAAUGGAGGGAGAAACAGAGGUCUUUCGGACAAGCUUGAAUCAAAUGAGUUUUGCCGCCCAUGUUUGAUGCCCACAGUGUCGGAAUGGGCUCAGAGGCGGUCGUGUCAUGUCUAAUUGAAGUUACUAACCUACCCCUAUUUAGAGCAGUGGAAAUCGGGCUGAUGGAUUGUCAGUGUAAUGGGUAGACAGUAAUUUCCAUCUCCCAAACACUUGGCUUCGGGCAGCCAAUGUGGGAGUGGACAUUUUGCUGUUUCUUUUGAAUUUUGCGACAAUAAGCAUCCACGUUUACCCUGGCAACUAAAUUCGAAUCCAUUUUGUAUUCCUAUAUGAAUCUUUAUAAAUCAUUCUAUGUGUUUUUAUAUAUCUUCAAAAGGACGACAAAGAUGUAUUCCACUGUCAUAUAUGAAUAUGGUUUACAAAUGCCGAUACUCAAAUUCAGAAACUAGAAUCUAGUUUAAGGUGAAUUCGAAUAUUUGGAACACUUCAUGUCCAACUCAAAUGACACACGCAGCAUAAUGUGUACUCCCAUUUAGAUAUGUACACAAGCGAUGUAUCAAGAUUCAAAUACCGAGUCUAUCAACCAAGAAUGUAUGGAACUAACAGACAUAUAAACACUUAUAGAGUAUAUGGAUCAAUAAUAUCAACUAACAUACAUAAGCCAGGCCAUUGUACUUUUUUUGGCUACAACAACAUCCUUUUUUAGCCAACAUCUUGGCCCUUUCCGAUGCGUGCCACUUAUGGUCCAUCUAUACUACUAUUGCUAAAUGCACAUUCAGCCCGAUUGGCAUAUUUGUAGGUCUGGCACAGUAAUCCAAAUGAAAUGUCUCCAAGUCUUAUCAAUUAAUACAGACUUGUGCUCAAAUAAAAUUACAAACAAAAAAACAAAAAAAAC